AUAACAAUUUGCACACAGUCGCUCGGCAGAAUGCUACCGAGAACACUGAUGCGCGUGCACCUAACGAACGCCUCCUCUAUUUUUUCGAUGCUAGUGCAAUCGCUCCCUUCCCAGUAGGAGCCAUUGGUGCACCUUAGUUCUACCCACUUGGUACGACUAGGGUGCUUUGAUGUAGUGCGCCGCUGUAGAGGGUGGUGACACCUUCUGGCCUGCGCCGCGCCGCCGUUUUGCUCCGUGGUCGCCAUAUUGGGACGAGUUGCUUGUGGCGCCCGUUCCUUCCAGCGUUAGCAAAGCAGCAUUGUUGGGGAGUAUGCGAAGCUGUUGUGUUCUGCGCCAGCUGCUGGGCAACUGAACUGUGUUCAGUCGCAAAAGCUAGCAUGCCAGGGUGUUGUGUACCGUUGUGUGCGGGCUCGACAACGAAAGGUUUGCGCUGUUUUCGCUUCCCACGGGAUAAGGAACGGAGAAAAGUAUGGGAGGCGAAAGUGAGGCGUCAAGACUGGAAUGCGAAUGAUAACUCGAGGAUCUGCGAGCGACACUUCGAAGAAGAUCAGUUCGAGGGAAACAGGAAGGAUGGACGGCGGCUGCUCAAGUCAACGGCUGUCCCGACAUUGUUUGAUUUUGGGCCCCAGCCGAAGCGAAGAGAGCCGCUUGCACCGAGCCCUUUUCCUUCCAACACUGCACAAGGUACUGCAGUAGACUCCUCGCCAGCCCCUAAGGCACCGCCUAACCCAGAACAUACUCCACCAUUGCCAGAAAACACUCAUGAUGGUGCGGGAGAACAAGUGGACAUUUUCUCGCUCUCUGUGAACCAACUGCGGAAAGAGCUGCAAGAUGCAAAAAGAAAACGCAACGAGUUAGAAGAAAGCUUAUCGCAGGAAAAAGAGAAAGGUAAAAAAAAACUCUGAAAUAACAAAGCAGUUUGAAAAAACUUAGAACAUUGACUGCAAAUUUGACAUUUGGAAACCAGGAUCAAAAGACUGCUUUGGAAAAGAAAACACAGGAAGGGUUGCUUGUGGGGUGGUGGCAAAAUCAAGAAGGCACUACAGCUUAAGUUCGCAUGUGGGUCUGAUGGAUGCAACCUUUUACUGGAGCAAGGACAGGCGUUUUCUUCAAGGAGGACACUAUGCCGGAGACUGCAACAAUCAGCUUUCUUGCCUGGUGUGCUAACAGAAAUGCUCGUCUUAAUGGAAGCCAAAGCGGCUGAGAAGACACCGAAAAGUAUCCUCUUCUUGGACGAACUAGACAUUCGCAGAGGUAUGGAGGUAAACUGCAGCAAUGACUUUCCUUGGCAGGGUAAUGCUGCCCGAGGGUGACCAGCCUGCCAAACAUGCACUUGUUUCAUGGUAGGUGGUUUGAAUUCCAGAUGGAAGCAAUUAAUUGCAUACCACUACACAGAUGCCUUUGUCAAUGGAGGCAAGCACAGAAUUUAUGGUAUACGGUAGACUACAGCAAGGGCAAUAAUUUUUGACAUACGCGGAUAACUCAACGUCAGCUGGUUGCUGAUUUGUUGCAAGACACACAAUUGAAGCAUGGUGCAUGUUAUGCGCCUUAUAAACUCUCAUGCCGACAGCACCGAAAGGCGUUCCUUUAUAAAGCAGUGAAUCUAGUCAAUUAUUUCAUUGGUUUGGGCAUAUCAAUUGGCCAACGCGGACCUAUAGCUGCACAGUAGUCAUUUCCUCUGAGAACUGUUCAAGCAAGCAUACGCUAUUUUAUUACUGUGUGCAAUACGCGCUUAGCAUUGCGGGUAAAUGUGCAAGACUUAUAUACACCUGAAUUUGCAGGCGCAAGCGCAUGCCAAACAAGAAUAUCGGUCGACGCGCCAUUGUCUGCCGUAUCUGCGCUCGCCCGAAUAUGGCGUUCACGAAGGCACUGUCCCCACGCUGUACGGCGGCGCGCUACAUCGAAGCACCCUAGGUACAGCUAGUGUCCCUGUUGUCGCUGUAUAUAUACCCGCAGGGAGCAGAGUUGCGCAUAGGUCUGCCAGUAUGUUUCAGCAUCGCAGUGAAGCCAAUCCUCGCGCGCGCAGGCGGCAAAUACCGCGCGGUAUUUCAUUUCCUUUUUUGUGUUUGCUGGUCGCAAACUAAGUGCGUCCAUAGUUCUCAAGCGCUGAGCAAGGUGGCACUUUUUAGUGCAGGCUACGCUCAAACCAUUGGCGUAGCCGGGAGAGGCGUAGGGUUCCAACCCACCGAAAUUUUUAUUUUUUAUGUACAUAUAUACACGCACAUAUGCAAAGACACGCACGAACGUAACUAUAGGGGGUAGGACCUUUCUUGAUACCCCGAAAUAAGAUGCUGACUGGCACCGUGGCCCGAGCAGCUCAAAAGUUCACGUGCAAACGUGCUGUACCUUGCAACAAAAAGCGGUGCAAGGUUUUCCAGCAUGCAUGUGAAGUUUCCUCACCGAGGCCACAAGGCAAGAAAUGUUGUGUGUAUAAAUAAAG